UACGUAGGGUGCAAGCGUUGUCCGGAAUUAUUGGGCGUAAAGAGCUCGUAGGCGGUUCGUCGCGUCGGCUGUGAAAUCCCGAGGCUCAACCUCGGGUCUGCAGUCGAUACGGGCGGACUGGAGUUCGGCAGGGGAGACUGGAAUUCCUGGUGUAGCGGUGAAAUGCGCAGAUAUCAGGAGGAACACCGGUGGCGAAGGCGGUUCUCUGGGCAUUGACCUGACGCUGAGGAGCGAAAGUGUGGGGAGCGAACAGG
rnacentral:rRNA from 1 species